AGAGUUUGAUCCUGGCUCAGGACGAACGCUGGCGGCGUGCCUAAUACAUGCAAGUCGAACGAAGCUUUCUUUCACCGAAUGUUUGCAUUCACCGAAAGAAGCUUAGUGGCGAACGGGUGAGUAACACGUAGGCAACCUGCCCAAAAGAGGGGGAUAACACUUGGAAACAGGUGCUAAUACCGCAUAACCAUGAACACCGCAUGAUGUUCGUGUAAAAGACGGCUUUUGCUGUCACUUUUGGAUGGGCCUGCGGCGUAUUAACUUGUUGGUGGGGUAACGGCCUACCAAGGUGAUGAUACGUAGCCGAACUGAGAGGUUGAUCGGCCACAUUGGGACUGAGACACGGCCCAAACUCCUACGGGAGGCAGCAGUAGGGAAUCUUCCACAAUGGACGAAAGUCUGAUGGAGCAACGCCGCGUGAAUGAAGAAGGCCUACGGGUCGUAAAAUUCUGUUGUCAGAGAAGAAUGUGCGUGAGAGUAACUGUUCACGUAUUGACGGUAUCUGACCGGAAAGCCACGGCUAACUACGUGCCAGCAGCCGCGGUAAUACGUAGGUGGCAAGCGUUGUCCGGAUUUAUUGGGCGUAAAGGGAACGCAGGCGGUCUUUUAAGUCUGAUGUGAAAGCCUUCGGCUUAACCGAAGUAGUGCAUUGGAAACUGGAAGACUUGAGUGCAGAAGAGGAGAGUGGAACUCCAUGUGUAGCGGUGAAAUGCGUAGAUAUAUGGAAGAACACCAGUGGCGAAAGCGGCUCUCUGGUCUGUAACUGACGCUGAGGUUCGAAAGCGUGGGUAGCAAGCAGGAUUAGAUACCCUGGUAGUCCACGCCGUAAACGAUGAGUGCUAAGUGUUGGAGGGUUUCCGCCCUUCAGUGCUGCAGCUAACGCAUUAAGCACUCCGCCUGGGGAGUACGGUCGCAAGACUGAAACUCAAAGGAAUUGACGGGGGCCCGCACAAGCGGUGGAGCAUGUGGUUUAAUUCGAAGCAACGCGAAGAACCUUACCAGGUCUUGACAUCUUCUGACAAUUCCAGAGAUGGAACGUUCCCUUCGGGGACAGAAUGACAGGUGGUGCAUGGUUGUCGUCAGCUCGUGUCGUGAGAUGUUGGGUUAAGUCCCGCAACGAGCGCAACCCUUAUUGUCAGUUGCCAUCACUAAGUUGGGCACUCUGGCGAGACUGCCGGUGACAAACCGGAGGAAGGUGGGGAUGACGUCAAAUCAUCAUGCCCCUUAUGACCUGGGCUACACACGUGCUACAAUGGACGGUACAACGAGUCGCUAACUCGCGAGGGCAAGCUAAUCUCUUAAAGCCGUUCUCAGUUCGGAUUGCAGGCUGCAACUCGCCUGCAUGAAGUCGGAAUCGCUAGUAAUCGCGAAUCAGCAUGUCGCGGUGAAUACGUUCCCGGGCCUUGUACACACCGCCCGUCACACCAUGAGAGUUUGUAACACCCAAAGUCGGUGGGGUAACCUUUUGGAGCCAGCCGCCUAAGGUGGGACAGAUGAUUGGGGUGAAGUCGUAACAAGGUA
rnacentral:rRNA from 1 species